CCCCGCCCAGCCCCGCGCGCGCUGCGGGCGCGCGGCGUGGGGCGCGCGGCCACGGGCAGCUGGGUGCACGGAUGGGUGUGCAGAACGCCGUGUGUGGCCCGAGCGAGCGCCUGCACGGAGCGGCCGCAGCCUGGCGCGCCCGGGCUGAGCGCUUCCGAGGGGCCCGCGUGGGCGCUGGCUGGGGGGCCGACUGGUGUCCAUGGGCGUGGGGGUGGCUCAGGACGCGGGACCUACUGUUCCUUGGGCCCGAGUUCGCUCCUGCGUUGAAGGAGGGAGUCCAGGUGGUCGUUGCCUGGUUUCGGUGCAGGGGCCGAAGGACUUGGGCCAUCUUCCACUACUUGCCCAGGCCAUAGCAGAGAGCUGGAUCGCAAGAGGAGCAGCCGGGACUCGAACCAGCGCAGCCACUUGGCACAUAGUAGGUGUUCAAUUAAAUACGAAGCGACUUGAUUAAAAAGGAACAUGCAAGGAUCUCCCAGCAUCUCUGCCACUGGAACACGUGAGCUGGCACCACUUACUGCUUCUGAGGCUCCACCCUUCUGCCUGAUCGACUGCUCGUUCAUUCACGUAUGAAGAACAGCCUGUGGGAGUCUACUUAGGCAGAAUUACAGAGAAGCAGAGCAAAAGAGAGAGGUCUUCUAUCUACUUCCAAAUGGCCACAACUGCUGGAGCUGAGCUGAUCUGAAGCCAGGAGCCAGAAGCUUCUUCUGGGUCUCCCGCCCAUGUGGUUGCAGGGGCCCAAGCACUUGGGCCACCUUCUGCUGCUUCCCCAGGUCCAUUAGCAGGGAGCUGCAUCAGAAAUGGAGCAACCAGGACUCGAACUCGCGCCCAUGUGGGAUGCUGGCACUGCAGGCAGCAGCUUUACCAGCUACGCCACAAAGCCAGCCCCAGCCUUUUUCACUGUAGAGCGUUUUCAUUGCUGCUUCUGUCACAGGCACGUGAUGACAGCUGACUCCCUUGCUGUAGAAAGCUGAGAAUAAAGAGCAUU